rnacentral:rRNA from 1 species
UACGAAGGGGACUAGCGUUGUUCGGAUUUACUGGGCGUAAAGCGCGCGUAGGCGGAUCGCUAAGUCAGGGGUGAAAUCCCAGGGCUCAACCCUGGAACUGCCUUUGAUACUGGCAACCUAGAGGCUGGAAGAGGUUAGUGGAAUUCCCAGUGUAGAGGUGAAAUUCGUAGAUAUUGGGAAGAACACCAGUGGCGAAGGCGGCUAACUGGUCCAGAUCUGACGCUGAGGUGCGAAAGCGUGGGGAGCAAACAGG